UACAGAGGUCUCAAGCGUUGUUCGGAUUCAUUGGGCGUAAAGGGUGCGUAGGCGGCGCGGUAAGUCGGGUGUGAAAUCUUGGAGCUUAACUCCGAAACUGCAUUCGAUACUGCCGUGCUUGAGGACUGGAGAGGAGACUGGAGUUUACGGUGUAGCGGUGAAAUGCGUAGAUAUCGUAAGGAAGACCAGUGGCGAAGGCGGGUCUCUGGACAGUUCCUGACGCUGAGGCACGAAGGCCAGGGGAGCAAACGGG
rnacentral:rRNA from 1 species